rnacentral:rRNA from 1 species
UGGGGAAUAUUGCACAAUGGGCGCAAGCCUGAUGCAGCAACGCCGCGUGAGGGACGACGGCCUUCGGGUUGUAAACCUCUUUUAGUAGGGAAGAAGCGAAAGUGACGGUACCUGCAGAAAAAGCACCGGCUAACUACGUGCCAGCAGCCGCGGUAAUACGUAGGGUGCGAGCGUUGUCCGGAAUUAUUGGGCGUAAAGAGCUCGUAGGCGGUCUGUCGCGUCUGCUGUGAAAACCCGAGGCUCAACCUCGGGCCUGCAGUGGGUACGGGCAGACUAGAGUGCGGUAGGGGAGAAUGGAAUUCCUGGUGUAGCGGUGGAAUGCGCAGAUAUCAGGAGGAACACCGAUGGCGAAGGCAGUUCUCUGGGCCGUAACUGACGCUGAGGAGCGAAAGCGUGGGGAGCGAACAGGAUUAGAUACCCUGGUAGUCCACGCCGUAAACGUUGGGCGCUAGAUGUGGGGACCAUUCCACGGUUUCCGUGUCGCAGCUAGCGCAUUAAGCGCCCCGCCUGGGGAGUACGGCCGCAAGGCUAAAACU